GGGUUGUGAGGUUAAGCGACUAAGCGUACACGGUGGAUGCCCUGGCAGUCAGAGGCGAUGAAGGACGUGCUAAUCUGCGAAAAGCGUCGGUAAGGUGAUAUGAACCGUUAUAGCCGGCGAUGUCCGAAUGGGGAAACCCAGUGCAAUUCGUUGCACUAUCGUUAACUGAAUACAUAGGUUAACGAGGCGAACCGGGGGAACUGAAACAUCUAAGUACCCCGAGGAAAAGAAAUCAACCGAGAUUCCCCCAGUAGCGGCGAGCGAACGGGGAGCAGCCCAGAGUCUGAAUCAGCUUGUGUGUUAGUGGAACGGUCUGGAAAGUCCGACGGUACAGGGUGAUAGUCCCGUACACCAAAAUGCACAGGCUGUGAACUCGAAGAGUAGGGCGGGACACGUGGUAUCCUGUCUGAAUAUGGGGGGACCAUCCUCCAAGGCUAAAUACUCCUGACUGACCGAUAGUGAACCAGUACCGUGAGGGAAAGGCGAAAAGAAC
rnacentral:rRNA from 1 species